rnacentral:rRNA from 1 species
GACGAACGCUGGCGGCGUGCUUAACACAUGCAAGUCGAACGGGAUGAUCUUAAAGCUUGCUUUUAGAGAAUCUAGUGGCAAACGGGUGAGUAACACGUAGACAACCUGCCGACAGGAUGGGGACAACAUUCCGAAAGGAAUGCUAAUACCGAAUGAAGUCAGAGAAGGGCAUCCUUUUCUGAUGAAAGAUGGCCUCUUUUUAUGCUAUCACCUGUUGAUGGGUCUGCGUCUGAUUAGCUAGUUGGUGAGGUAACGGCUCACCAAGGCGACGAUCAGUAGCCGGUCUGAGAGGAUGAACGGCCACAUUGGGACUGAGACACGGCCCAGACUCCUACGGGAGGCAGCAGUGGGGAAUCUUCCGCAAUGGGCGCAAGCCUGACGGAGCAACGCCGCGUGAGUGAAGAAGGUCUUCGGAUCGUAAAGCUCUGUUGACGGGGACGAACGUGCGGAGUGCGAAUAGCGCUU